ACCCACAAGGACAGUUCUACCCUGUCCUGCAGGGUCCGAGUUGACUCAUUGGCAGUGAGAGUGAGAUUCCUGGCUCAGGAUAAGCCUCUCCGUGGAAGAAAGGUGGGGCUGUCUGGUCCUGUGAAGAGUCAGAGCCUCACAAACCCUACAUAAGGAGGUCUCUCUGAGUUGGGGUCCAUUUAAGGGCAGUGAGUUCUCUAUUUGGGGGACUGAUGGCUCAGGAUGGCUUCUCAGUCAAGUGGAACACACCUGUAAGAGUUCUUGGCAUUGACCGUGAAGCCAAGCGGGCUCUGCCAACCCGAGAGAGCAGAAAACUAUGGAGUUGGAGUGGACAGCUGGCCACGCCCUGGAAGGUUUCCAUGUGGAUCUUGGGCCAUGGAGGUCCCCAGAGCCUGCCGGUGCUGAUCCGGGUGCUACAAUCUCCCUAGCCUGCCACACCUCUCUGGUCCCAGGCCAGCGGAAGUUUUCAGAGUCUUCUUCGGCCCUUGAGGGAGGCUGGCAAGAGAGAAUCACUUCUGUUCAGUAGUUUUCCCUUCCCACUGGCUUCCAUACUACCAGGAGAAGAACCGAGAUGGACGAAGACUACUGUCACCUUCAUCCUGGGGGAUUCCUGAUUCCUCCCUGGGCUGUGGCUUGGGCACAAGAUGCCAGGCACCUGGAACUGAGUUCUGCGGCCCCAAACCCAAAGUGAGUUUUUAGCUCCAGCUACCAGUUGCAUGCUCAACUCAGGACCAACCAUCUGAGAGCCCCUGUCCGGAGCCCCUGGCCCAGGGACCCUUACUCAGAAGCAGAAUCCUCCGGGUCUUUCCGUGCCUUGUCCAUUCCGAGGUGCCUGUAGCAAUCUGGAGCUUCUGGGCUCUUCUAGAUGUGCCUUCCACAUGGCCUCCGGACUCCUGGCAUUUCCUCGGCCUGCCAGAUGUGAGAAGAAUGCGGAAGCCAGCCUCUACUCCCCACUUGAGGCCGAAUGUCGUAGGGACAGCCAUUUGACCUGGCCCAGGACUUUGGGAUGCUGGAGACCGCCUCCUAAGCCAUCCUCUUUGGACACCAGGACCUUCUCCAGCCCAAGACCAUGCUGGACAGCUCGCAGCACAAAGGCCUGGGGCUACCUGCAGGCCCAGAGGAUUCCUACAGUGGCCACCAAAGGCCAGAAGGGAGGGUGGAGAGGGGAAGGUGGGCAGAGAGGGGACCGAUGUGCCUCAUUCAGUAGCUUGGCCGGUAUUCCUAAUAUGCUUUUCUUAAUAAAACUCGGUUUGUCAGA